GUGUUUUGACUUUAUAUUUGUUGCAAAUGCACGAACUGGUAGAGUUAACAGUGCCUCAAACAGCUCAACAGUGCCUUACAUUUAACAGUUAUUCUACGAACUCGAGUCGAAUAUGAGCUGAUAGCCGAUGAGGCGCGUAGCGCCGAAUCGGCUAUCGCUCAUAUUUGACGAGAGUGAGUGGAAUAACUGUUUUAUUAUAUACACAAGGUCUGAAUUCACAGACUUUGCUUUUCGAAUAUUUUCAAUAUUUUUCUAUUUUGUUUAUGUUUUUAUCUUCGCUCUUUCGGCCG